AUUUCUCAUUUCCCUCUCUUAUCCUCAAUGGAAAAAAUAAUCUGAGAAAACGCAGGUGAAGAACAAAGCUAAAUCCUCAGAUUCGGCGCCGGAGAAUCUUUAAGUUUCGACAUAAUCGGAAUCUUAGAUUUUGAUAAUUCCUAUGGAAGGGGUUAUCACAUGUUUCCAUUCUAAAUGCGUCGCUCUUCCAAUUCGUUCUUUACCACUUUCUAGGGUUUCUUCACUUCCUCGGUGGAGGAACACUAAUUUGGUCUCUUCAUCGAGAUCGGUUCUUCGGAGGAGCUUGUGCGUUUCGGCUUCGAGCUCAGAUACUUUAGUCGCUGGCGGUUCACCAAAGGAAGACGAAAGACAGAGCAAAGCAUCGAGCAGAAAGGAAGGAGAUGACUCCGAGGAUUUGAAGUUUUGGAUGGACAAGAAUGGUUUGCCACCUUGCAAGGUUGUUCUUAAUGAGAGACCAGCUCAUGAUCAGAAGCAUAAACCCAUACAUUAUGUUGCUGCUAGUGAGGAUCUUCAGAAGGGUGAUGUGGCGUUUUCAGUUCCCGAUUCUUUGGUGGUCACACUGGAAAGAGUUUUGGGAAACGAGACUAUUGCCGAACUGUUGACGACGAACAAAUUGUCAGAACUGGCUUGCCUAGCUUUGUAUUUGAUGUAUGAAAAGAAACAAGGAAGAAAAUCAGUUUGGUAUCCCUAUAUAAGGGAACUUGAUCGUCAAAGAGGAAGAGGUCAGUUAGAUGCGGAGUCUCCGUUGCUGUGGUCAGAGGCUGAGUUAGAUUACCUAACUGGUAGUCCGACCAAGGCCGAAGUUCUUGAGAGGGCUGAGGGGAUCAAAAGAGAAUACAAUGAGCUCGACACUGUCUGGUUUAUGGCUGGAUCUUUGUUUCAGCAAUACCCGUUUGACAUACCAACUGAAGCAUUUUCAUAUGAGAUUUUCAAACAGGCAUUUGUUGCCAUUCAGUCCUGUGUGGUGCAUUUACAAAAUGUCGGUUUGGCUCGUCGUUUUGCUUUGGUUCCCCUUGGCCCUCCCUUGUUGGCCUAUUGUUCCAACUGCAAGGCAAUGCUUACUGCUGUUGAUGGUGCUGUUGAACUCGUGGUAGAUAGGCCAUAUAAGGCUGGUGAUCCUAUAGUUGUCUGGUGUGGGCCACAACCUAAUGCGAAGUUGCUUCUGAACUAUGGAUUCGUUGAUGAAGAUAACCCUUAUGACAGAAUAAUAGUUGAGGCAGCGUUGAACACUGAGGAUUCUCAAUAUCAGGACAAGAGAAUGGUUGCUCAAAGGAACGGAAAGUUAUCCCAACAAAUUUUUCAGGUACGUGUGGGAAAAGAAAGAGAAGCUGUCCAAGACAUGCUUCCCUACCUACGGUUGGGUUACAUGUCUGAUCCGUCUGAAAUGCAAUCAGUAAUUUCGUCCCAAGGUCCAGUUUGUCCGAUGAGCCCUUGCAUGGAAAGAGCAGUACUAGAUCAGCUUGCUAAUUACUUCAUGAGACGGUUAGCUGGCUACCCUACUACUCCGAAAGAAGAUGCUGCAUUGUUGGCAGAUCCUAGUUUGAGUCCUAGGAAGCGAGUGGCAACCAGGCUUGUCCAAUUGGAGAAGAAAAUACUAGCUGCAUGCCUUACGACAACAGUGGAUUUGUUAAAUCAGUUGCCUGAUACAAGCAUCUCCCCAUGCCCAGCACCAUAUGCUCCAUCCUUAAAAUAAAAAAAAGGUUCGUGUUGUAGCUGCAAUUUGUGGGACAUGGCAGAAGAGUAAUUCGUUCUCGUGUCUUUGAUCAAUUACAAUCUGAGGUGGCUUAACGAUAGUCAGUUUUUGUUAUACAAGUCUAGAUCUGAUCCUAGCGUAUGCUGCUCAAAAACAUGACUAGGAAGUUUCCCAAUUAAUUUUGAUUUUGUAUGUAGGGGUACUAGGAGCGUUACCUAUCGCUUGACAUGCAAAUGUUUCAGCCAAUGAUUGUCCUUUUUCUUUCAACAAUGAAGCUUAAGUCGCAUUGUAGAAAUCCUGCGAAAUGUAAUUACAGACAUGAACCUUUCUGAACUCGCGUUGUGUUCAGUUUAAGUGCUUUUUUUUUUUUUAUGUUGAGAGUCGUGUUCAGUUUUUCUGUUAUAGCUUCAAAAGCCUAAUGGAAAACAAAAACGUCAAGACGAGCAGAUAGAACUAAUAAAAACGGCACGCGUUUCUUUGA